GGAUGCCCAGUUACUUUGAAUUUCAGAUAAAGAACGAAUAAUUUCUUAGCACAAAUACGUCCCAAGCUUAGUUUGGGACAUACUUACGCUAAAACAUAUUAUUGGUUGUUUAUCUGAAAUUCAAAAUUAAGCAUUUUA
rnacentral:miRNA from 1 species